rnacentral:rRNA from 1 species
AUUGAACGCUGGCGGCAGGCCUAACACAUGCAAGUCGAGCGGGGUUUUCGGACCUAGCGGCGGACGGGUGAGUAAUGCGUAGGAAGCCACCCGAUAGAGGGGGAUACCAGUUGGAAACGACUGUUAAUACCGCAUAAUGUCUACGGACCAAAGUGUGGGACCUUCGGGCCACAUGCUAUCGGAUGCGCCUACGUGGGAUUAGCUAGUUGGUGAGGUAAUGGCUCACCAAGGCGACGAUCCCUAGCUGGUUUGAGAGGAUGAUCAGCCACACUGGAACUGAGACACGGUCCAGACUCCUACGGGAGGCAGCAGUGGGGAAUAUUGGACAAUGGGCGCAAGCCUGAUCCAGCCAUGCCGCGUGUGUGAAGAAGGCCUUCGGGUUGUAAAGCACUUUCAGUAAGGAGGAAGAGUUGAGUGUUAAUAGUACUCAGCUUUGACGUUACUUACAGAAGAAGCACCGGCUAACUCUGUGCCAGCCGCCGCCGUAAAAC